ACCCGCUGAACUUAAGCAUAUCAAUAAGCGGAGGAAAAGAAACCAACAGGGAUUGCCCUAGUAACGGCGAGUGAAGCGGCAACAGCUCAAAUUUGAAAUCUGGCGUCUUUGGCGUCCGAGUUGUAAUUUGCAGAGGGCGCUUUGGCAUUGGCAGCGGUCCAAGUUCCUUGGAACAGGACGUCACAGAGGGUGAGAAUCCCGUACGUGGUCGCUAGCCUUUACCGUGUAAAGCCCCUUCGACGAGUCGAGUUGUUUGGGAAUGCAGCUCUAAAUGGGAGGUAAAUUUCUUCUAAAGCUAAAUACUGGCCAGAGACCGAUAGCGCACAAGUAGAGUGAUCGAAAGAUGAAAAGCACUUUGGAAAGAGAGUUAAAAAGCACGUGAAAUUGUUGAAAGGGAAGCGCUUGCAGCCAGACUUGCCUGUAGUUGCUCAUCCGGGUUUUUACCCGGUGCACUCUUCUAUAGGCAGGCCAGCAUCAGUUUGGGCGGUUGGAUAAAGGUCUCUGUCAUGUACCUCUCUUCGGGGAGAACUUAUAGGGGAGACGACAUGCAACCAGCCCGGACUGAGGUCCGCGCAUUCUGCUAGGGUGCUGGCGUAAUGGCUGU
rnacentral:rRNA from 1 species